rnacentral:rRNA from 1 species
GACGAACGCUGGCGGCGUGCUUAACACAUGCAAGUCGAACGGAAAGGCCCAGCUUGCUGGGUGCUCGAGUGGCGAACGGGUGAGUAACACGUGGGUGAUCUGCCUCUAACUUCGGGAUAAGCUUGGGAAACUGGGUCUAAUACCGGAUAGGACAAUCGUUUAGUGUCGGUUGUGGAAAGUUUUUUCGGUUAGGGAUGAGCCCGCGGCCUAUCAGCUUGUUGGUGGGGUAAUGGCCUACCAAGGCGUCGACGGGUAGCCGGCCUGAGAGGGUGGACGGCCACAUUGGGACUGGGAUACGGCCCAGACUCCUACGGGAGGCAGCAGUGGGGAAUAUUGCACAAUGGGCGCAAGCCUGAUGCAGCGACGCCGCGUGGGGGAUGACGGCCUUCGGGUUGUAAACCUCUUUCGACAGGGACGAAGCUUUGGUGACGGUACCUGUAUAAGAAGCACCGGCUAACUACGUG